CUCUCUGAAGCAUUUUUCAUUUUCUAUUUCGGUUUCAAAGUAUUUGGCCAGUGCCAGGUAACAAGCCCACACCCCAGACCAUCCUUAGAUAACUGCUCCAUGAGUCUCCCCUUCCCUGAUUUAUGACUAGUGCAGACCAUAAUAGAACGCUAAAAGCACUGUGUUAUGUCCUUACCUUACAUAGUAUUCAUUCGUGGGAAGUUCUUAAGCCCAUUUGAAAGAAGACUAGCCAGCAGUGCACGUGGUUACAACCGCUAUGUCCACCGUCUGUGUAUGUGCCUCUGUGUACAUCUCUCUGUAUGAGUACAUAACAGUGGCAUUCAAAGGCUGUCAUCCAGUCAAGGGACUCUGCAGACCUUGUAUGCUCUACCCAAGACCAAAGCUAAAGAGGUUUACGAAUGGCUGCAGGACCUGAAGAUUGCGUUGCAGCCUUGAUAUGCAGUUUGGAAACUGUUUAACGGCGCGAACCAAAUUUCUGCUAAUGGGAAGAAGGGAAAACUCCACAAAAGCUGACAAAGCAGGAAGAACAGGAUGACUGAGCUUUAGAUUAAAACUCCCGGGGGCGUCUGAACUCUUAUGGCUGGUGGUGGAAGUGUCAGUUUCCACGACACGGCCAAGUGAUCAGAUGCGUGCUGCGUAGGUAAGACAGAGACCGUCGCCUGCUUUGUUUUUCCUAAUGGGAAUGGUGCUGGGCCACUGGGCCAAAGUUUUGCUUCCUAAGAAUUUUAUUUCAUUGUUAUUUUUGUAAUUUUCUGUGAAGUAUUUACAUGAUAACCUGAUGAAUCAAACCCAGCAGCUUCUUUAGGUAUACUUGAUUUUUGCACGUAUCGAAAUGGCUAGGAUUUCUGACCGAUUCUGAGUCUUUGGGGUCUUUUUCUUCUGGUUUAAAAUUGUUGUGUCAAGAAGAAGAAAUUACAGCUUCAGAAGCACACAGUGCUUAGCCUGCACCACAGACAGCACCUCUAACACCAGAAAAGGCCAAAAAUGAGUCUCUGCAGACGAGACCGCCAUUGUGCAUAAAUGAAAUUAUCCUAUCUGCACCUCAGGACUUCCUUAAUUGCUCAAAAAAAAAAAAAGUCCCAUAUGCAACAAAAGUAAACUUUCAUUUGUUUAACGGAGUUUAAAGAAAUGCAGCGUGUGCAUUUUAAUUAGAAGUGACUAGAAAGAGCUUGAAUA
rnacentral:lncRNA from 1 species